AAACUCCACCAAAAAAAAAAAAAAAAAAAAAGAAGAAUGAAUGUGUACAGGUGUACAGGUGUAUGGGGGCUUGAGGGACUUUGCAUAUUUAUACACAUAUGUGGCUUCAUAUGCAUUGCCAUAUGUUCACAGGUAUAUGCCAGCUUGAUUGUGCCUUGGGCGUGGGGGUGGACAAAUGCAUGUUGCAUGUUUUGUAUGUCUGUGCCGGUGCAGUUGAAGAGUGAGUGCAUGUUUCAGUGAGUGUAAGGAAGUGGGUGCUCACGUGUACUUGGGAGCUUGUCUGCAAGGGCAGUAAAUGAGCACGUUUCUGGGCGUGUGGCUGUGAGCGUGUGUAUGUGUACAUGUGUGCUUCAUGCAUGUGUGCUGUGAGGAUGUGUGUGGCUGGGGACCUGCACGUACACAGAGCCACGUGGACCUGGGUUUGUCUUCCCUGCCCCAAGUCAGGAAAUGCCUGUGGUUUGUAUGAUAGGUCAGUUCCCCUUUUACUUCAGUGGGGGCCUGAAGGACCCCUGGUAGCCUCUUAGCUAUUCUUACCCACCCACUAGGUUAUUUCUGCUUCCUUUGUGGGAACCAGAGCGUGCAUGUUUGCAAAGGCUCCAGUGAAGCUUUUCCACAUGCCCAGAUGCUGAGGGUCUGGAGGAAAAUACCACGGCUUUGGCUCCAAGGAGGAAGCCCCUAUGCUGCCCCUCCCACUGCCUAUUCCUAAGUCCCCAGCUGUGCAGCAGGGCAAGGCCCUUUCCCCAGUCAGGGGAGCCUCAACACCUGCUGGAGGAGCUGACAGUGCAAGAGAUUUGAAGGUAGGCAACCUGGAUUCAAGUCCUGCCUCCACCCCUGGGCGGACCAAGAGGCUUUGGACAAGUCACUGAAUAGGAGUCCUGGUAUCAAGAUUGACCUCUCCCAAUGCCAAUGGACCUGAACUGAGACCAUGAAUAUGUGUGGAGGAUGUUGGCAGGGCCCCACCCAGAUUUCUGCGCCCCAGCAGGUGCACCCGUCUCCAGCCUUGCUCUGCUGCGUCCACUUGGGUGGUUGAGUUGGAGCCAUUUUCACCAGGCAGAUGCUGUCUGGGCUGGAUGACUGACCUCCUCUCUUUGAAUAAAGUUACUUGGGCCUGGUUGGUGAUUCUAGGAGAAGAAACCUACAAACAGGGUUCUGGUCACAGGUCCUGCUGCCACCAGCCUCAAGAAAGGUCAUAAGACCCACUUGUGAGAGGUGCCCUCUCUCUACCCGGAGGAAAGGAGCCUCCUAAACUCUGAAGAUGAAAGGAUGUCAAGAGGAAUCUGAAUGAACAGGCCUCGGCUACACCAACGUACCCAGCAAAAAAUACUCUUCAAAAACAAAGGUAGCCUCUUCUAGAAGAUCUGAUUUUAUAAAAAGAAAAAGAAAAAAAAUUUUUUUAAUUCAAGUGAAACCGAGACAUUUCAUACAAAUAAAAAUGGAAAGAAUUUAUCACCAGCACAUCCCCAUCAAAGAAUUAGCAAAGGGUGAUUUUCAGGCAGGAGAAAAUGGAUCCCAGAUGGAAACUUGGAGAUUUGGGAGGAAAUGAAGGCCAAUGGAGAGAGAAAAUAUUUGGUUAAUCUAAACAAAUAUUGUCUGUAUAAAACAAUAAUAAUUAGGUCUUGUGGAGUUUGAAAUAUAUAAAGGAUUCAAAUAGCAGAUGGUAACAGAUGACAAUAGCAUCCAAGUCAGGAGGGGGUAAAUGGAGUUUUAAGUGGUCUAAGCUUCCUGCAUUUCCCUACGAGCAGUGAGAGUUUGUCUGUAGCAGACUUUAAUAAGUCAAGGAUACGCAUUAUAAUCUUUAGGAUAACCACUAAAAGAAAGGAGUACUAACAAAUUAAUAAAGAAAUGACAUGGAUUAAUUAAAAGUACUGUAUCAGUCUGGGCUCGGUGGCUCAUGCCUGUAAUCCCUGCACUUUGGGAGGCCAAGGUGGGCAGAUCACUUGAGGUCAGAAGUUCAAGACCAGCCUGGCCAACAUAGUGAAACUCCGUCUCUACUGAAAACACAAAAACUAGCUAGGCGUGAUGAUGGGUGCCUGUAAUCCCAGCUACUCAGGAGGCUGAGGCACGAGAAUUGCUUGAACCCGGGAGACGGAGGUUGCAGUGAGCGAGAUCGCACCACUGCACUCUAGCCUGGGUGACAGAGCAAGACUCUGUCCAAAAAAAAAAAAAAAAAACCCA